ensembl:lncRNA
AUGAAUGUCAUACCACAGCAGACAAUGUUUCUAUGUUUUGUGUAUUUUUCUAAACUUUUAUUAAUUUUUUUUAGGAUAACCGACUUUUUUUGCAAUGAUAUUAUUUUCUUUGUUUCAGGGGUUCAGCCUCAGAGUGUAUCCUAUGGACGAGUGCUGCCAGUUCAAAAUGUUGGUGUUGGAGUAAAACCUGGAGUUACGGGAGCCCUUGGAGCGCUGGGCAGCCGCUACAACACAAAAGCUAUGAAGACUGGAAUUGGACGUUAUCCUGCCGCUCAACUCGGUGUUGGAGGUUAUAGAUCUCUCGGUUUGGGAGCCAGAGGCCUGAAGCAAGGUGGAUAUGGAGCCCAGGGAGUUUAUGGUGCCAGUUUGGGAACAGGAAUGGGUCUGGGCCCAGGACUUACUAAUGGACUGGGAUUUGGUUUGGGCCAAGGCGGAAAACGUGCUUACGGUGCUGGUCUUGGAACUCUUCCAGGAUAUGAAGCUUUUGGAGGCGCUGGGUAUCCAGGAGCUCGACCAGGUGUUUCUGCAGCAGAUUUGGGUGGACCUGAGGUGGCCAGUCUGGGCCCAUCUCUUCAAGAUCUUAAGAGACAAAAGAGCAGAGCUGAAAGUCACUUGUAUGGAAACCAAGGCAGAACUCUUGGAGCUGAAUCCCCCAUGGAGAGGAGAACCGGUGAACUCGGUCGGUCGGUUCCUGAGCUACAUGCAAGAAUUGAGGUCAAAAGCAUCGAUCCAGUCCUUCAGUCAUCCAAUCUCAGACCCACAACCCCUCUCCAACAGCAGGAGAAACAUCUUGGUGCUGUUUCACAAACACAAAGAGCCCAUGCAGCGAUCAAAAGUGGAACAGCAUUAGCAGCAGCGGGCGUGAGAAUACAACUUCCUGUUGAUAAAGACUUCAGACGUGUAGAAUUGUCUCAGACACACAACUCCAGAGAUUCAUCCAUGCAGCAGAACCUAAGACCUGGAGACAGUGGAUCUCCUGAUGAGUUAUCAGAGAGGUUAGGCAUCAGCCACUUUGGCCUUUUGGGAUCACAGAGGCAAAGGCUUCAGAGGUAUUUCGCCCAGCCCCAUGCUAGUAAAAUGGACAAACAUCAUGCGCUCGUGAAGCCGUCUUCACAAGAGAGGCCCUAUCCUUCUCUUCCACAAGGUCAAGACCCCAGGAGCAGUUUGUUCUCCACUGGACAGCAGCCGGAUAAAAGAAACCCUUUAUCCACGCUGGCAAACAGACAGGGCGACAAAGAAGCUGGGUCUACAGACAAAAUAGGACUUCACAUCAGAGUCCAGCAGCACUAUGGUCCAGUGAGCCCAGGUGGAAGCAGAACUCAGAGUUUGGGUAUUGUCUUGGCUGAAGAAGGGCACGACGCUCAAAAGUUUCCUGAAGAGGACGCAAAAGACUUUUCUCAGGCAGAAAAAACAAAAAUAAAGCCAAAAUCUUUCUAUACCCCAGGGCAGACUGGGGGGAACACGCAGGCUGCAAGCUAUCUUGGUGGAGCAGGAAACUACCAGGGCGCAAGCCUGGGAGCUGUAGGCUAUGGAGCAGGUCUGGGACAGGGGGCGUACCUGGGUGGCGCAGCUGGAAAGCUUAGUGCAGCUGCUGCGCUUGGACAAGGUGGGUAUCCCCAAGGUGUUCCAGGCAAGACAAACGGUUAUGGUGAUGGCGUAACGGGAUACCUCGGCGCUGUGGCAGGUAACGGCUUUGGUUAUGGGAAUGGAUACAGCGAUGGUUACGGAGCUGCCCUGAGCACAGGAGGCUACACAGGACAGCCCCAGGGGCCGUACGGAGCACUUGCUACAGGACUGGACUCAACUGCUGGCAAAUAUGGAGCAGGAGCUGCACAGGUUCCUUAUGGGAAUGCUCCUGUAAUUCCUGCAGGACUGGAAGGUAACGGAGGCUACCCGUACGCCGCUCAGCAGCUCGGCCUCACUGCUGAAGGUGCCAAAGCCGCCAGCAAAUAUGGAGCUUCUUCAGGUUAUGCAAAUCACCCAACAGGUUACGGUGCACAGCUUGGAGCUACCCAAGAUGCCUUGGGAGAGCAGGCUGGGAAGUACGAUGGAGUGAACGCUGCCCUAGGUAACGGGUACAAAGGCUAA